AAAACGACUCUCGGCAACGGAUAUCUCGGCUCUCGCAUCGAUGAAAAACGCAGCGAAAUGCGAUACUUGGUGUGAAUUGCAAAAUCCCGCGAACCAUCGAGUCUUUGAACGCAAGUUGCGCCCGAAGCCUUUCGGCCGAGGGCACGUCUGCCUGGGUGUCACGC
rnacentral:rRNA from 1 species